rnacentral:misc_RNA from 1 species
AACGCACAUUACGCCCACUAGUAUUCUGGUAGGUAUGCCUGUUCAAGCGUCAUUUCAACCCUCAAGCCUGGCUUGGUAUUAGGGCUCUGCGUCUACAGUCCCUUAAAUCCAGUGGCGGACACGCUAGGUCUCCGAGCGCAGUAGUUUCUUCUCGCUUCGGGCGUCCGGCGUAGGCUUACCUCGCACCCCAUUUUCUCAAGGUUGACCUCGGAUCAGGUAAGAAUACCCGCUGAACUUAA